UACGUAGGGUCCGAGCGUUGUCCGGAAUUACUGGGCGUAAAGAGCUCGUAGGUGGUUUGUCACGUUGUUCGUGAAAACUCACAGCUUAACUGUGGGCGUGCGGGCGAUACGGGCAGACUAGAGUACUGCAGGGGAGACUGGAAUUCCUGGUGUAGCGGUGGAAUGCGCAGAUAUCAGGAGGAACACCGGUGGCGAAGGCGGUUCUCUGGGCAUUACCUGACGCUGGAGGAGCGAAAGUGUGGGGAGCGAACAGG
rnacentral:rRNA from 1 species